GUUGAUGGAAGGCAGAUGUGCAAGUUGGGCAGGUGAAGUGAACAAGUUGCAAUCUGGAGGGAGCCAGGAGAGCGUAGUAAAAGCAAACCACCAAUGACAAAUAAUGUCUUUCAUGUCUAAACUCUUCCUAGUUGACCUAAGACCACUUUUUGCACAAAUUAAGAGCUUUCAUGUUCAAAAUUCAUACAAAAUGGACUGUCCACUAAGCUGAAUUUCUAGCUUAGCCAAGCGGUGGACAGGAUUUCCAGUCUGGAGGAUUUAUGCCUGAGGAGGAUUUCUCAGCUGUCCACAGCCCUGGUCUCUCCAUGUCAUCUGAAAUUUCACACAGCUCUCCACAAAGCUUUCGCCUUGACUUGACUGUUGCUCGCAGAGUCUUCAUCCGCCGUCACAGCAAAUUGAAGCAGACCCUGCACUGUGCACCGAUAUACCAGCGCCUGUGGUGACAGUGUUUUGCUACAAAAUGCGUUGACAGAUUCGACUGAUUUAUCAUCCAAGUGUUGACCAUGUUGGUAAACAGCCAAAUCAGUGGGCCAUCUCACAAUAACCAGCAGCAGUUAUUUAAUUCACCUCCAGACAGAUGAAAACAAAUCCCUAAACGUGCAAAAAGACCCAGAAUUGAAAAGACUUUAACAAAA